AAAACCACUGAUGAAUAAGGGUGGGGCAAGUUCUGGUGUCAGCCGCCGCGGUAAANCCAGCACCUCAAGUGGUCAGGAUGAUUAUUGGGCCUAAAGCAUCCGUAGCCUGUUCUGUAAGUUUCCGGUUAAAUCCAUUAGCUCAACUAAUGGGCUGCCGAAAAUACUGCAAAACUAGGGAGUGGGAGAGGUAGACGGUACUCGGUAGGAAGGGGUAAAAUCCUUUGAUCUAUUGAUGACCACCUGUGGCGAAGGCGGUCUACCAGAACACGUUCGACGGUGAGGGAUGAAAGCUGGGGGAGCAAACCGGAUUAGAUACCCGGGUAGUCCCAGCUGUAAACGAUGCAGACUCGGUGAUGCGCUGGCUUGUGGCCAGUGCAGUGCCGCAGGGAAGCCGUUAAGUUUGCCGCCUGGGAAGUACGUACGCAAGUAUGAAACUUAAAGGAAUUGGCGGGGGAGCACCACAAGGGGUGAAGCCUGCGGUUCAAUUGGAGUCAACGCCAGAAAUCUUACCCGAAGAGACAGCAGAAUGAAGGUCAAGCUGGAGACUUUACCAGACAAGCUGAGAAGUGGUGCAUGGCCGUCGCCAGCUCGUGCCGUGAGAUGUCCUGUUAAGUCAGGUAACGAGCGAGAUCCCUGCCUCUAGUUGCCACCAUUACUCUCCGGAGUAGUGGGGCGAAUUAGCGGGACCGCCGUAGUUAAUACGGAGGAAGGAAGGGGCCACGGCAGGUCAGUAUGCCCUGAAACUUUGGGGCCACACGCGGGCUGCAAUGGUAACGACAGUGGGUUCCUAAUCCGAAAGGUGGAGGUAAUCCUCAAACGUUACCACAGUUAUGAUUGAGGGCUGCAACUCGCCCUCAUGAAUAUGGAAUCCCUAGUAACUGCGUGUCAUUAUCGCGCGGUGAAUACGUCCCUGCUCCUUGCACACACCGCCCGUCGUUUCAUUGAAGUUUGCUUUUAGCGAGGUGAUGUCUCAUGGUCGUCAUCGAACUG
rnacentral:rRNA from 1 species